ACACCGCUCCCGUGAACGCUCCGCCCUCCUUCUCCUCCCCUUCCCCGGCUUCGCGCAAAUCAAAUGUUCGUGGGAAGCCUGAAAAAAGGAGCGGGCAGGUCUGUAGGCCUCAACACAGACGGCUUUGGUGAAUGAGCAACACACCUGUGCACUCAUUUUCAAGCAUUAGCACCUGCGUUGGCACAUGCGAAGCAGUGUGGGCUAUCGGACAGGGCACAGGAAUUAAGCUGGCCUCAGAGAGACGGAUUCAUUUUCAAUUUGGUGAACUGAGAGGAUCAGGCCGCAUGGAUUCAAUCCAAGGAGAGAACUGGGUCCUUAAAGUGCAACAUUAACCAGGAUAUCUGAGGAGAUCUGCAGGGCAGGGACCCUGUGUUUUGUACUACACCAAGCACACCACUCUAUACUCUAUCUUCAAAUCACAUGGUGGAGAAGUCAAUCAAAAUCACAUCCCUCUGGGCUCUUACUCUGUCUGCAUAAAUCGCAGCCGUUUGCAACUCAGAAAAAAGUCAAUUCCUCUCAAAGGAGCUGUUGCCUUGGAGAUAAAAGGAAGAGACACUUAUUGUGAUAAUGCUCUGUUACGUCUAUUGUACCAAAUCCUCAGCAUAGACAAUUGUUCUGUUUCUGUCUAAGCGAUCUAUUGGGGCAGCAGAGUGACAGUUGCUGAAUGUACCAUUGCUUACCUGCGGCUUUAUCAUCAUCUUAGUGCCCUUUAUACAAGAUUCCUGACUCAGGAAAUCAAUGGGAGUGGAUGGUGUUCAGCACCUCAAAAGAAAUAUAUCCUUUGACACAGAUCUGUUCUAUGCUUGUCAGAGACCAGUUUAUCCAUAAAGGUAUGGG